AACACAUGAUGACAACCGUUUCGGUCCCAUAUGAUCGCCUGAUUAUUGCCCAUUGAGAUCACCUGAUGUU